CGUGUUGUAGCACUUGUAUUUCUGGACCUGGAAGCUUUGGAUGCUCAAGACGUACCACUUUACUGUUUCGCGCUCUUCUCUCUUCCUUGACUUUCUGCUCUUGUUUUGCAGCCGGAAACUCGGGAUAGAGAUGGGAAAUCACCAAUCGUUUGGUGAUCUUAGCGUUGGUUGUGGUGAUGAUUCAGCUUUUGAUCGAUCAAAGUGUGUUUUUAAUUGUCACAGUCUUCACGCUAAGGAGCCGAAAGUUAUGUGCAGCUAUGGUGGAGAGCCAAAUACCAAAGUAUCAUCGGAGUUUUAUUUGCAAUAAGCACAGGCUCGCAAGGUUCUAGUUGAUUUUCUUUUGAUUUCUGGUCUGCCUGGAACAAUCAUUGAAUCGAUUCCAA